rnacentral:tRNA from 1 species
GCCCCUGUGGUGUAGUCCGGCCAAUCAUUUCGCCCUUUCGAGGCGAAGACUCGAGUUCAAAUCUCGGCGGGGGCG